CCUACGGGAGGCAGCAGUGAGGAAUAUUGGUCAAUGGCCGGAAGGCUGAACCAGCCAUGCCGCGUGAAGGUCAGUGCCCUAUGGGCGUUAAACUUCUUUUGUGCGGGAGCAAUAAUGGUCACGUGUGGCCAGACGAGAGUACCGUACGAAUAAGCGUCGCCUAACUCCGUGCCAGCAGCCGCGGUAUGACGGGGGAUGCAAGCGUUAUACGGAUUUAUGGGGUUGAAAGGGUGCGUAGGCUGUGAGGUAAGUCAGCGGUGAAAUGCCCCGGCUCAACGGGGUGAAGUGCCAUUGAUACUGGCUUGCUGGAAUGCGGAUGCCGUGGGAGGAAUGUGUGGUGUAGCGGUGAAAUGCAUAGAUAUCACACAGAACACCGAUUGCGAAGGCAUCUCACGAAUCCGCGAUUGACGCUGAUGCACGAAAGCGUGGGUAUCAAACAGGAUUAGAUACCCUUGUAGUC
rnacentral:rRNA from 1 species